GAGGCUGUGGCUCAGUGGUAGAGAAUCUGCUUUGCAUGCAGACGGUCCAUGUUCAAUCCCCAGCAUGUUUCA
rnacentral:tRNA from 1 species